UACGUAGGUGGCAAGCGUUGUCCGGAUUUAUUGGGUUUAAAGGGUGCGUAGGCGGUCUUAUAAGUCAGUGCUGAAAUAUCCCGGCUUAACCGGGAGGGUGGCAUUGAUACUGUAGGACUUGAGUGAAGUCGAGGUAGGCGGAAUUGACGGUGUAGCGGUGAAAUGCUUAGAUAUCGUCAAGAACACCAAUAGUGGAGACAGUUUACUAGACUUCAACUGACGCUGAGGCACGAAAGUGUGGGGAUCAAACAGG
rnacentral:rRNA from 1 species